UGGAGGAGGUGGAGAAAGCUGCUGAUGAGAGCAAGAGAGGUAUGAAAGUUAUUGAAAACCGGGCCUUAAAAGAUGAAGAAACUAUGGAACUCCAGGAAAUCCAACUCAACGAAGCCAAGCACAUUGCACAAGAGGCAGAUCGGAAGUAUGAGGAGGUGGCUCCUAAACUGGUGAUUGUUGAAGGGGAAUGCACAGAGGAGCGAGCUGAACUGGCAGAGUCUGGUAACCGAGAGAUGGAUGAGCAGAUCAGACUGAUGGACCAGAAUCUGAAGUGUCUGAGUGCUGCUGAGGAAAAGUACUCUCAAAAAGAAGACAAAUAUGAGGAAGAGAUAAAGAUUCUUACUGAUAAACUCAAGGAGGCAGAGACCCGUGCUGAGUUUGCUGAGAGAUCUGUAGCCAAGCUGGAAAAGACAACUGAUGAUUUGGAAGAUAAACUGAAGUGCACCGAAGAGGAGCACCUCUGUACACAAAGGAUGCUGGACCAGACUCUGCUUGACCUGAAGGAGAUGACGAGCACCUCAGUCCCGCCCUGCCGCUGCUCCUUACUUUGGUCGGGACUCAGACUUGACUCCGCCUGA